rnacentral:rRNA from 1 species
UACGUAGGGUGCAAGCGUUGUCCGGAAUUAUUGGGCGUAAAGAGCUCGUAGGCGGUUUGUCGCGUCUGCUGUGAAAACCCGAGGCUCAACCUCGGGCCUGCAGUGGGUACGGGCAGACUAGAGUGCGGUAGGGGAGAUUGGAAUUCCUGGUGUAGCGGUGGAAUGCGCAGAUAUCAGGAGGAACACCGGUGGCGAAGGCGGGACUCUGGGCCGAUACUGACGCUGAGGAGCGAAAGCGUGGGGGAGCAAACAGG